rnacentral:rRNA from 1 species
CACGUAGGGUGCGAGCGUUGUCCGGAAUUAUUGGGCGUAAAGAGCUCGUAGGCGGUCCGUCGCGUCGGAUGUGAAAUUCCAGGGCUCAACCCUGGACCUGCAUUCGAUACGGGCGGACUAGAGUUCGGUAGGGGAGACUGGAAUUCCUGGUGUAGCGGUGAAAUGCGCAGAUAUCAGGAGGAACACCAAUGGCGAAGGCAGCUCGCUGGGACGGUAUUGACGCUAAGGCGCGAAAGCGUGGGGAGCAA